GAUCCUGGCUCAGGAUGAACGCUAGCUACAGGCUUAACACAUGCAAGUCGAGGGGAAACGAUAGAGAAAGCUUGCUUUUUCUAGGCGUCGACCGGCGCACGGGUGAGUAACGCGUAUCCAACCUGCCCACCACUUGGGGAUAACCUUGCGAAAGUAAGACUAAUACCCAAUGACGUCUCUAGAAGACAUCUGAAAGAGAUUAAAGAUUUAUCGGUGAUGGAUGGGGAUGCGUCUGAUUAGCUUGUUGGCGGGGUAACGGCCCACCAAGGCGACGAUCAGUAGGGGUUCUGAGAGGAAGGUCCCCCACAUUGGAACUGAGACACGGUCCAAACUCCUACGGGAGGCAGCAGUGAGGAAUAUUGGUCAAUGGACGAGAGUCUGAACCAGCCAAGUAGCGUGCAGGAUGACGGCCCUAUGGGUUGUAAACUGCUUUUAUAAGGGAAUAAAGUGGGAGUCGUGACUCUUUUGCAUGUACCUUAUGAAUAAGGACCGGCUAAUUCCGUG
rnacentral:rRNA from 1 species